GACGAACGCUGGCGGCGUGCCUAAUACAUGCAAGUCGAACGAACCGCGACUAAGUGCUUGCACUAAGUCAAGGUGAGUGGCGAACGGGUGAGUAACACGUGGGUAACCUACCUCAUAGUGGGGGAUAACAGUCGGAAACGACUGCUAAUACCGCAUAGGACAUAGGAUCACAUGAUCCAGUGAGGAAAGGUGGCGCAAGCUAUCGCUAAGAGAUGGACCCGCGGUGCAUUAGCUAGUUGGUAGGGUAAAGGCCUACCAAGGCGAUGAUGCAUAGCCGACCUGAGAGGGUGAUAGGCGACAUUGGGACUGAGACACGGACAAAACUCCUACGGGAGGCAGCAGUAGGGAAUCUUCCGCAAUGGACGCAAGUCUGACGGAGCAACGCCGCGUGAGUGAAGAAGGUCUUCGGAUCGUAAAGCUCUGUUGUUAGAGAAGAACAGCGCAUAGAGUAACUGCUAUGCGUGUGACGGUAUCUAAUCAGAAAGCCACGGCUAACUACGUG
rnacentral:rRNA from 1 species